rnacentral:rRNA from 1 species
AUUGAACGCUGGCGGCAGGCCUAACACAUGCAAGUCGAACGAGUGGCGGACGGGGGAGUAAUGUCUGGGAAACUGCCUUUUGGAGGGGGAUAACUACUGGAAACGGUAGCUAAUACCGCAUACCAUCGGAUGUGCCCAGAUGGGAUUAGCUAGUAGGUGGGGUAACGGCUCACCUAGGCAACGAUCCCUAGCUGGUCUGAGAGGAUGACCAGCCACACUGGAACUAGGACAAGGUCCAGACUCCGACGGGAGGCAGCAGUGGGGAAUAUUGGACAAUGGGCGCAAGCCUGAUGCAGCCAUGCCGCGUGUAUGAAGAAGGCCUUCGGGUUGUAAAGUACUUUCUGCGGGGAGGCGUUACCCGCAGAAGAAGCACCGGCUAACUCCGUGCCAGCAGCCGCGGUAAUAC